rnacentral:rRNA from 1 species
AACGAACGCUGGCGGCAUGCCUAACACAUGCAAGUCGAACGAGACCUUCGGGUCUAGUUGCGCACGGGUGCGUAACGCGUGGGAACCUGCCCUUAGGUUCGGAAUAACUCCCCGAAAGGGGUGCUAAUACCGGAUAAUGUCUUCGGACCAAAGAUUUAUCGCCUUUGGAUGGGCCCGCGUUGGAUUAGCUAGUUGGUAGGGUAAAAGCCUACCAAGGCGACGAUCCAUAGCUGGUCUGAGAGGAUGAUCAGCCACACUGGGACUGAGACACGGCCCAGACUCCUACGGGAGGCAGCAGUGGGGAAUAUUGGACAAUGGGCGAAAGCCUGAUCCAGCAAUGCCGCGUGAGUGAUGAAGGCCUUAGGGUUGUAAAGCUCUGUUACCCGGGAUGAUAAUGACAGUACCGGGAGAAUAAGCGCCGGCUAACUCCGUG